UGUCAGGCCCUACCCUCUUCUCUUGAUGAUACACUGUCAGGCCCUACCCUCUUCUCUUGAUGAUACUGUCAGGCCCUACCCUCUCUGCUUGAUGAUACACUGUCAGGCCCUACCCUCUUCUCUUGAUGAUACUGUCAGGUCCAACCCUCUCUGCUUGAUGAUACACUGUCAGGCCCUACCCUCUUCUCUUGAUGAUACUGUCAGGCCCUACCCUCUUCUCUUGAUGAUACACUGUCAGGCCCUACCCUCUUCUCUUGAUGAUACUGUCAGGCCCUACCCUCUUCUCUUGGGUCCACAUGAAUAACCUCCACAUGGCAGGGCCCUACCCUCUUCUCUUGAUGAUACUGUCAGGUCCAACCCUCUCUGCUUGGGUCCACAUGAAUAACCUCCACAUGGCAGGGCCCUACAGAGGGUACAUUUUACUUACAUUUGCGCCUAAAUAUUUUGCUGUGCAACCUGGAAUUUGAAUUUAGGAGCACCAGUGCACCUAUAAAAAUGAUGUAUUCUAGCUACGUUGUUCAACCUGUCAACGUAGUGUGGUAUGUGCUUUCUGUUAGACAUGUAACAUUAUGGAUGUAAAUUGUGAUUGUUGAUGUUAGCUGCAGCCACCGACACCAGCCCUGGAUCUAAGUCUGAAUCAUAAAUGAUGCAAGAAUAACUCUGAACCUGAUGAAACACAGGACCUGUUCAUAGACGGGGCUUCAUGCAGCCUUGGAAUAUCAACAACAACAACGUUGAAAGUACGUCUCGUGCUCACUGGGAUACCGAUACAGCUCCAGGGAUAAACAGAGCUCCUGAUUGAAUCGAUCCCCAGGUCGGUAUGUUGAACCCAGCUGGAGGUGUUUCUCUAUGUUCUGAAACACCUGUUCCUUUAACCCACCUGGUGAUGGUAAAGGGGAAACUCUAUACUUGAAAUCAAUGUGUUUUUAUUCAUCAGCUGUAUAGUAGGCUUUCUUUAGUUAACCAAAGCCAUAACUAGUCAGUUUAUCAUAUUUUAAUAUAUAUACCAUGUGAUUAUUUAUUUGUUGGUGAUAUUUACUAUAUAAACCAAGUGGCUGGUUCUCUUGGUUCCUGCUGUCAAAGGUCUUUGAUCUAGCUGCUCAUCAUCCUUCAUCUUCUUUAUAACCAAGUGGCUGGUUCUCUUGGUUCCUGCUGUCAAAGGUCUUUGAUCUAGCUGCUCAUCAUCCUUCAUCUUCUUUAUAACCAAGUGGCUGGUUCUCUUGGUUCCUGCUGUCAAAGGUCUUUGAUCUAGCUGCUCAUCAUCCUUCAUCUUCUUUAUAACCAAGUGGCUGGUUCUCUUGGUUCCUGCUGUCAAAGGUCUUUGAUCUAGCUGCUCAUCAUCCUUCAUCUUCUUUAUAACCAAGUGGCUGGUUCUCUUGGUUCCUGCUGUCAAAGGUCUUUGAUCUUGCUGCUCAUCAUCCUUCAUCUUCUUUAUAACCAAGUGGCUGGUUCUCUUGGUUCCUGCUGUCAAAGGUCUUUGAUCUAGCUGCUCAUCAUCCUUCAUCUUCUUUAUAACCAAGUGGCUGGUUCUCUUGGUUCCUGCUGUCAAAGGUCUUUGAUCUAGCUGCUCAUCAUCCUUCAUCUUCUUUAUAA